rnacentral:rRNA from 1 species
GGGGAAUAUUGCACAAUGGGCGAAAGCCCGAUGCAGCAACGCCGCGUGAGUGAUGACGGUCUUCGGAUUGUAAAGCCCUGUCUUUGGGGACGAUAAUGACGGUACCCAAGGAGGAAGCCACGGCUAACUACGUGCCAGCAGCCGCGGGAAUACGUAGGUGGCAAGCGUUGUCCGGAUUUACUGGGCGUAAAGGGUGCGUAGGCGGACCUUAAAGUGAGAUGUGAAAUCCCCGAGCUUAACUUGGGGGCUGCAUUUCAAACUGGAGGU